rnacentral:rRNA from 1 species
GACGAACGCUGGCGGCGUGCUUAACACAUGCAAGUCGAACGGAAAGGCCCUGCUUUUGUGGGGUGCUCGAGUGGCGAACGGGUGAGUAACACGUGAGUAACCUGCCCUUGACUUUGGGAUACUUCAGGAAACUGGGGCUAAUACCGGAUAGGAGCUCCUGCUGCAUGGUGGGGGUUGGAAAGUUUCGGCGGUUGGGGAUGGACUCGCGGCUUAUCAGCUUGUUGGUGGGGUAGUGGCUUACCAAGGCUUUGACGGAUAGCCGGCCUGAGAGGGUGACCGGCCACAUUGGGACUGAGAUACGGCCCAGACUCCUACGGGAGGCAGCAGUGGGGAAUAUUGCACAAUGGGCGGAAGCCUGAUGCAGCAACGCCGCGUGCGGGAUGACGGCCUUCGGGUUGUAAACCGCUUUCGCCUGUGACGAAGCGUGAGUGACGGUAAUGGGUAAAGAAGCACCGGCUAACUACGUG